rnacentral:lncRNA from 1 species
ACAGGUCUGAUCCAUAAACAACUUUGAUUAGUCUGAAACUACUCCCUAGGCAACAGCAAUUUCAACAAGGCCAGUCCUGACAAACCCCAAGAUUGAGAUCUUCCAACCACCUUUUGACCAAGACUUGUUUGACUGCAGAUUGCUGAUUCCCUUGUCUGUGUAACCUGGGAACUCAGGAUCUCACUCUGUGGUUCAGGCUGGCCUCAAAUGUGCAAUGAUCCUCCUAUCUCAGCCUUUUGAGUGAAAAUUUUCUUUUCUUAUGGUGAGUAGUACUCCAUAUAUCAGAUUUCUUUCUUUUUUUUUUUUGGUACUGGGCAUCGAACUCAGGCCCUUGCACUUGUGCAGCAGGUGGUGCAACCUCUGAGCUAAAUCCCUGGCCCCUUCAGAUUUCUUAUAUCCAUUCAUCUGUUGAUGGUGUAUAAGUCAUUUCAAAGUUUCAAGUAUUAUGAAUGGUGUUGCUAUCAACAUGAGAAACAUAUGUGUCUCUGUAAGAUAAUGUCUUUAUGUUUCUCAGGAAGUUACCCAGAUGGAUUAUAACUGAGUCAAAUGAAAUUUAUCAUUUUAGUUUUCAGAGUGCUUGUACUAGUUUUCAUUCCAAUCAGCAUUGUACAAGAGUUUUCUUUCCCUUACAACCUUGCCUGUUUUUGUUACUUUUUGAGUUCUUUUUUCUUUUUUUGGUACCGGAGAUUGAACUCAGGGGCUUUCCCUAGUGAGGCAGGAUUUUUUAGAGUUCUUGAUAAUAGCCAUGCCUAGUGGAAUGAGAUGGAACCUAAUGUUGUUUUGAUUUGAAUUUCUCUAAUGGCCAACAAUGUUGAACAUAUUUUAUAUAAUUUAUUGGCCAUUUGUUUUUCUUUGAGAAGUGUGUUUUCAUUAAAAUUGCUCUUUUUAAUUUGGUCUUUCAUUUUGGAGGAGUUGUUGUUGUUCUUUAUUCUAGAUAUUAGAAUAAUAUCUCUGUCCAAUGAAAAGCUGACAAAGAAUUUCCCACUGUGGAGGUUGUCUCUUCAGUCAGUUCUUGUUCUCUGUUCUGUGCAAAAGCUUCUUAAUUUGGUAUAAUCCCAUUUGUUGAUUCUUAAUUUUUUUUGUACCGGGGAUUAAACUCAGGACCUUUCAGUUGUGAGGUAGGCACUGGAACCCCU